GACCAGGUUCACCUGGAACCCCUGGAGAACAAGGACCCCCAGGUGCCCCAGGCUUCCCAGGAAAUGCAGGAGUGCCAGGAACCCCAGGAGAACGAGGUCUAACUGGUGUCAAAGGAGAUAAAGGAAACCCAGGCAUUGGAACUCAAGGCCCAAGAGGUCCACCUGGGCCAGCAGGACCUUCAGGGGAAAGUCGUCCUGGCAGUCCUGGGCCACCUGGCUCUCCUGGACCAAGGGGUCCCCCGGGCCACCUGGGAGUACCUGGGCCACAGGGUCCUUCUGGCCAGCCUGGAUAUUGUGACCCCUCCUCGUGUUCUGCUUACGGCGUUGGAGAUGUCAUCCCGUACAAUGAUUACCAGCACUGAAGUGCCAGUCCUGCUGUUGGUUGCAUUGGCCUGGGCAUUUGGCUAUGGAUACAGAACUGGUUCACCACCACUACUAAGCUCCUGCCUCUGAUCACGGUCACCUCUUUCCUGCCUCACCUGCUUUGCUGUCUCAGACUUUCAAGUCCCCUGCCUACCCCGCUCCAGACAUGCUGGAGUGAUAAAAUCACAGUGUAACAAAGUAACAUGAGACAGCUGUAGUAGAGCUGACUUCCCGGCCAGUCAGAAUGGAGGUCUGUGAUUGCGCACCAAGACUUUAUCCCAAACGCCUCUGGACGGAGUCUCUGUAAUGGUUAACUAACUGUACGAGUCUCUUUCCUAUCCCACUCAUUAUGAUGAGCAUUUUCCUCCUGGCUCUUUUGCUCCGCCUCCCUCCCUUUUCCACUCUCUCCUGGUGAUGGACUUGUAAAGAGAUUGUUUUUUUAAUUUUCUAUUUUCUUCUACGAUUCUACUGCAUUUCAGGGUUUCUUUUGUAAUAAAUACAUCUGGUAUUUAAGCGAUUGUCAUGGUUCCAGUUUUCUAACUCCGUUGUCUAGAUUGUCCCUUCUCUUCCUCCUCUUACUAACUAUGAAGCCUCAUGGGGAAGCCGCAUGGUGGGCUGGACAGUGAGUGCUUUCUCCUCACACACCCAUGGUUUAUUGACCAAAUUUGUGUCCCUAAGGACUCAGAUAGGGGAGAUUAUCCACUUAUGGUUCCUGGGUCCCAUCAAGCCCCCACCCCCACUUUUCCUCUUUAGUGUCCCAUCCAGAUCAACCCGAGUUCACACCGGUCCAGGACGAGCAGGAGGCCUUGGAUCUGUGGAGCGCAGGCAUCUGAUGACCUCAGGAGACAUUGGAAGAGCAGGGGCAAGCCCUCUUCUGGAGCUUCACCUAGCAAAUGUUGUCACGUGGUUUGUACUCUACUUUGCAGAGGGAGGCAGGGCUGAUGUUAUGGGGUCUAUUUCCUCUGUGGCUAAGUCAAUAUUACUGUUUCAAGAAAUUGUGUUUUUAAACCACCUUUUUCUGUGACACUGUUUUGACCGCACACCAGAUAAUUUGGUCUCCUUCCAAAGAAGGAUACACUGAACCCUGGAGCUUCUCUGUUACAUCAUUUCAAGUUGUAAGAUAAGUGAGAGAAGUGUGGUUAUAUCAGAGAGAAUUGGGGGCCCAAACAACAGAAGAGUGAAUUCAGAGACUCCCUGUUUAUGCCACUGACCCCAUACCCGUGGCUACGAGCUUUCUGGUAAUUAAGUAACACCGUCACUGAGGAAACUACCUCCUUCGUGUCUAACCCGAUCUUUCCAAUUCAUAGAUUACUCAGUAACUGGUUUCACGGGUAUUCGGAAUAAGAGCUAGAGUGUAGCCUUUCUAGAUUUGGCAAUUAAAAAAAAAACUAUAGAAUCUGUUUUCCGGCAGUUUUGAUUCGUAUAAAAUAAUGACUUCCUACCAAUUUCAAUGCAGAAGAGACCCAUUUUUUGACAAAUCAUUUGUCCAGAAGUGUGUUUCAGGGCUUGCCUCUCCUUGACUACAGGGAUUGCUUUGUAAAUGCAGAUAUGUUUUUUGAAGACUCGUUUUUAUUCUUUUUUUAUAAGCAAAUAAAAACUUAAAACACCA
rnacentral:lncRNA from 1 species